UACGUAGGGUGCAAGCGUUAAUCGGAAUUACUGGGCGUAAAGGGUGCGUAGGCGGUUCGUUAAGUCUGACGUGAAAUCCCCGGGCUCAACCUGGGAAUUGCGUUGGAGACUGCAAGGCUGGAGUCUGGCAGAGGGGGGUAGAAUUCCACGUGUAGCAGUGAAAUGCGUAGAGAUGUGGAGGAACACCGAUGGCGAAGGCAGCCCCCUGGGUCAAGACUGACGCUCAUGCACGAAAGCGUGGGGAGCAAACAGG
rnacentral:rRNA from 1 species